AGCAAUGCGUCUUUAUCUAUUGUUUUCGAUGCUUCAUUUCUUCGUAUCAGUGACCACGGCCGGCGGCUACAACACAGACUACGACGAAUACGACACUACAGAGAGUGUAGUUAUGCGUAACACAAAAGCAACGACGCCAACUGUAAAGAAGCCUCAGAAAAAAGCAAAGAAAAAAGAAGAUCUUACUGAUGUACUAAAGUUUCUUAACACAACGGAGAAAAUAUGGGUAUACAAAAGUACUGAAAGAACUAAUGAUACAUGCAAGGUGGACGAUAUUCAAUACGUAUAUGAAAUCGGUGCCUGCAUCACCAGGUACAACAUGUCCGAAGGAUAUGUGAAUAAAACGACUACUGAAGUCCAGUUCUCGUAUCACUGGGCUGAUGAAGACACCAGCCACCCUUACAAUGAAAUGCAAGUUCCAAAUGAAG
rnacentral:lncRNA from 1 species